GAUGAACGCUGGCGGCGUGCCUAAUACAUGCAAGUCGAGCGAAAAGACGAGGAGCUUGCUCCUCUGACGUUAGCGGCAGACGGGUGAGUAACACGUGGAAAACCUACCUAUAAGACUGGGAUCACUUCGGGAAACCGGAGCUAAUCCCGGAGAAUAUAUUGAACCGCAUGGUUCAAUAGUGAAAUACGGUUGUGUGGGCAGUUGUAGAUGGAUGGGCGCCUUAUUAGCUUGUUGGUAAGGUACCGGUAUACCAAGGGAACGGCGGGUAGCCGACCUGAGAGGGGGACCGGCCACAUUGGGACUGAGAUACGGCCCAGACGGCAACGGGACGCAACAGUGGGGAACCUUGCACAACGGGCGGAAGCCAGAUGCGGAGGCGUCGCGUGCGGAAUACUGGGUUUUGGGUUAUAAACAGAUUUCGACUGUACCAAACAGGGCGUGACGGUAAUGGGUCAGGAAGCACCGGCUAACUACGUG
rnacentral:rRNA from 1 species